rnacentral:lncRNA from 1 species
AAUUUUGUCGCUAUCUUUUUUUGUUACGAAGGAGAUGCACACAGAUGAUAAACAGUGAAUAGGGAGAUAACUCUUACAAAGAAAAUGGUUCGGCUUAGCAGGGUGAAAUUUAAAAGCGCAUAAACUAUACGAUACCAUAUGAAAAUAUCUAAGCGACAUAUUGCGAAACAAACAUUUAUCGCAAGAACAAAAUUUGGCGGAAAAAAAAAAAAAAAUAAUAAUUAAAA